rnacentral:rRNA from 1 species
UACGGAGGAUGCGAGCGUUAUCCGGAUUUAUUGGGUUUAAAGGGUGCGUAGGCGGUCCGUUAAGUCAGCGGUAAAAUUGCGGGGCUCAACCCCGUCGAGCCGUUGAAACUGUCAGACUUGAGUUGGCGAGAAGUACGCGGAAUGCGCGGUGUAGCGGUGAAAUGCAUAGAUAUCGCGCAGAACUCCGAUUGCGAAGGCAGCGUACCGGCGCCACGCUGACGCUGAGGCACGAAAGCGUGGGGAUCGAACAGG